rnacentral:lncRNA from 1 species
AGGAGGAAGAGGAGGAGGAGGAGGAGGAGGGGGGAGCUAGGAAGGAGUCUGGGAAGCACAACAUGAGGCAGAUGGUAAGCAGUGUGCAUGAUAUAGUCUCCAUCAUGACUGGCUGGUGCUUCGGGACGGGGUUUUAAGGGGCCUGUAGCUCCCUUCUGCCCCUUCCCUACUGCUCCAGGGCGCGAGGAAGGGACGAAGGGAACCAGGGGGAAAGUGCCCGUGUCGUGUCGUGUGUGGUGUGCGAUAUCGUUGUGCUUUUGUGAUGGUUGUUCGUGUUGGUGGUAGUGUUGGUGGCGAUGGUGGUGGUGGUAGUGACGUCAUGAUUUAAAAAGCCUUCUUUCUCGCCAGGACUGAGUGAAGUGGUGGUGGUGGUGGUGGUGGUGGUGUUGUUCAUGGUGGUGGUGGUGUUUGGUUUGUGUUGUGGUGUUGUGGUGGUGUUUUUGUGUGUAGGUAAGAAAGAGUGCAUGAUUGAUAAUUGCACAUACACACGCACACGCACACGCACACGUACACGCAUACACACACACACACACACACACACACACACGCGCGGGAGAACAAGUUACAGAGAAAUUAUACAGAAAGAAAACAAAGGAAAAUAGAAAAAAGAGGAAAAUAAAAGUGGAUAGUGAUUAAUGAACAAUAAAUGUAAACAAACAAUAAUCGUGCUAGGAAAUUACGAAAACAAACACAGUGAAUGGAAAAAAAUAAAUAAUAAUAAUAAUAAUAAUAAUACGAAAGAAAAUGAAUAUAUACGAAACACACACACACAAAAAAAAAAAGAAAAACAAAGAGUGUAGUGAAUAAAAGUGAAUCACAAAUAAAAAAUAACAAAAAAAAAAACACGAGAAAAACAAAACAAAACAAGUGUUACAUAAAAUAAUCCUUUUAAUCCUGAAAAAAAAUAAAGAAAAUAUACAAACAAUUAAAAAAAAAGAAAAAAAUUAAAAGAAAAAUCACUUACUCACUUACUCACUCACUUACUCACUCACUCACUCACUCACUUACUUACUUUUCACUACUUUACUUCAACGAGGCCAGCUGAAGGUAGAAACAAACUUAUUUACUUAAGAAGAAUGAGUCAGUCACCGGAUGAGUCACUCCUGAGUAAAUGAGUCGCCUUCUCUCACUCCCACACCUACAGACUGACUCACUCUCACUCCUGAAGGCUGGGAGAGAGGGAGAGGGAGAGAGGGAGAGAGAGAGAGGGAGUGGUGAGUGAAGCAUGAGUCAUCAACAGGUCUAGUACAAGAUGGCAGGCUUUAGCGGAAGUGACUGAGCUUUGGGUGGUGUUUCCAUGGUCCUCGUAAUAGUGUAAAAGGGAUUUGUAAUAUUUCUAUCUUCAAUGAUGCUCUGUUAUUGGAAUGGCAGUUUAAGAGGAGGUAAUGGCCGGUAUCGAGAUUUUCAAAGGUGUUCCCACGAGUGUAGUGAUCUGGUAAGGAUUCUGUGUCUUCUGUAUCCACUAACACCCGCGGGAACUCGAGUAAAUUAUCUGUGUACUUUGAAAAUAAUAUCUAAGAAAAGGUAAGUUUAAGAGCACGAUUUAGUACUAUAAAUUAAAAGAAGUAUUAGACUAAGUAGAAAAUUGUAAUUCCGUGCAGAAAAGUUCCUCAGCACUGGUAACAUUGCAAGGGAAAUGUUAUAAUGGUUUAGAAAUAAGUAAAGAAUUAAAAGAAUAACUCAUGUAACAAUCUAAGUACAUGCAAACUAUGAGGCAAUAAAGUGAGUACAUAUGUAAGUAAAUAUCUUAGAGAAAAAAAAAAUGUAUCACAGAAAAAAACAAUGUAUUACUCUGCUCAGGGAUCGAAUAUCUAGUAGUACAAUAUUUAUUACUCUGGAAAGUGGAAGAAUAUUUUGUAAGAUGAUUAUAAAUGCUAAGGAGAAGUACAAUAUUAAUUUAUUACUCUAGAAAGUGGAGGAAUUUUAUGUAAGAUGGUUAUAAAUGUAUUACUAAAAUGGUCAUUACUCUAGAAAGUGGAGAACUGUAUUACAUGUAUUAUAAAUGUACUACACAGGAAAUCUAAGAAAUAUCAAGCCUAAGGAAAAUUAUAUUAGAAACUGACAGAAUACUAGUCUUGUAAAAUUUUAAAUAGGCAUCAAAAAGAAAAUGUAAUACCUGUAAUGUUUGUGUUCCAGUAUAUUAGAGAAAUGUUAUGCCCGUUUUGAAUAAUUUCCGAAAAUAGAAAACUGCCAAACGAAAAAAAAAUGUAAUAAUUUGGGUAAAUAAAUCAGAUAUUAUAAUAGAUCAGAAUAAGUAUUAAGAAAACAAAGAAAAUGCAUAUGUAUGUCUUGUCCACAGAAAAAAAAAAGAUUAUUACAUUUCAUUAUAUUUAAGGAAGAGGGAAAAAUAUAUAUAUACUUUAUUAUAUUACAGGAAUAAAAUGUCUUGAAUGAAAUCAGUAAAUGUCUGGAGAAAAUGUAAAUUGUAGAAAAUGUAAAUUGUAAAGAAAUGAAAAAAAAUAAAGUAAAAUAGAAGAAAACUUGUUAUAUUCAAGUAGCCCACAUAUCUAAGCACCAUGGGAGAGAAAGGGGGGGGAGUGGGAGGGGGGGGGCAAAUCAACCUACAAUAAAUCAAUAAAACAGACAAAACUAUACUGCAAACUGACGGAAUGCUUGUCAGAAACAUGAACGCAUUAUUAUCAACAUUGUAAGUGGAAUGAGGGAAAUUUUUAGCAAAGGUUCAAGAAUCAGACAACAUUUCCCAUUAAGAUUAUGAAAAUUAGAGCAUAUUCUUGUAUUCCCUUGAUUAGUGUAUAGUUUAUGGUCUACAUGUGUUUUGCCUCGUUGUGUGUGGCGAGACUGUGUGUCGUGAAGUGUGUGGCAUUGGUUGCGCCGCCAGGAGGGUUGUGUGUGCUUCCAAGUGGCAGUGAAGCACACCUGAGAGAGUAAGACUGAAGUGAAUGAAGUGAAAGUGAAGUGAAGUGGUGUGGUGAGGGAAGCAAAGUUUGUGAGAAAAUUUAAGUGGCUGAAAUAAAAGUAAGUGAAGCCGAACAAGAAAAAUGUUUGGCAGUAAAGUGAGUGAUGGCAAUUAAGUAGAUUUAAAUCACUAAAUAUAAGUAAUCAUUUAUAGUACUACAAGAUUUUGGUAUUAUUGUAAGCAAUAUUAAGAGAAGACCUGAGUCAUUAUUCGUUACUGACUGACUUGAAAUUAAUCUCGAUUCUUGUUUUAAUUACCUCUUGUAUUCAUAUGCAAUUAAUCUGCAUAUCUGGCUUUCAUUACGAUACUGUAAUUGUUAGCGAAAAUUUUAAUGUAUCAGUACAAUUAAGUGAAAAAGAGCUUUGAUUUUAAUAGGAUUUGAUAAGAUACCAAAUCAUAAUGCAGUGUGACAUCCGGCUAGCUAACAUCUGGUACUCAAUAUGAUACUGUAUUGUUAUUCUUAAGGGAAAAUUUGUAAUGUAUCGACAACAUUGUGAAAAAAAAAGGAUAUUGGCAUUACCUUCAUAUAAAACACCUUAGAUUUAACCCGCUCACUGCUGACAACCUCGGAGCUCCCUGCAGGUGCCAAGAGUGACCCGCGUUAGCAGACUAGAGGAAAUAAAACCCAAACAAUACUGAACUUGUAAUUACCAACUCUUUUUCAACCCCCCCCAAUAUAAAAAAAAAAGAUAAAUAAAUAAACAAACAAACUUCGCAGGAUCUUGUAACAAUCCCCAGUUAAAAAAAAUGGAAUAAUAAUAAUAAUAAUAAUAAUAAUAAUAAUAAUAAUAAUAAUAAUAAUAAUAAUAAUAACAAAUAGAUAAAAAAUAAAAAGAAAGAUUAAAACGAAACUAAUCCACUGCUAGUUUAAAGAAGGAGUUAGCCAAUAGAUCUCUCUUCCUUACUAACACACACACACACACACACACACACACACACACACACACACACACACACACACACCUAAGAAGAUAUGACAAAGUAUCAAUUUCCGUAACGCAAAACACCCAGCAAUACACACACACACACACACACACACACACACACACACACACACACUUCCUAAUGGGGGCAAGAAGGCAGUGAGCAGGUAACAGCAAGGCACAAUCACGCAGGAUCUCCAGAGUAAUGUUCACCAGCGUGCUAAACUCCAUUAGGUAAUAAGACAAGGUUAGGUGUUAUGUACAACUGAAUCACAUCUCAAUCACCGCUCAAUUACUAUAAACGAUGGCGAUGCUUGUGGUUAAGAAAAGAGAGAGAGAGAGAGAGAGAGAGAGAGAGAGAGAGAGAGAGAGAGAGAGAGAGAGAGAGAGAGAGAGAGAGAGAGAGAGAGAGAGAGAGAGAGAGAGAGA